rnacentral:lncRNA from 13 species
AUGCAUGCUUGUCCUUCUGCAGCUUUCCUGCAAAUGCAUGCUUGUCCUUCUGCAGCUUUCCUGCAAAUGCACGUUUUGACAACUGAAUGGUUUGUUCGUAAAUUCCAAAGCGCACACUGCACUAUUGACAGGGGACGCUCUGGCCAAGGAGUAAAGGCUGAUAUGACGGUUCCUCACAACGGCAGUCCAGCAAACCAAGAUAACUGGCUGAAAUUGGCUAGCUUGCUAACUACUUCCAGACACAAAUGAGAGAACACCUGACUGACCAUUUUAACCCACUAGGCCGUCAUUGAAAAUAAGAAUUUGUUCUUCACUGACUUGCCUAGUUAAAUAAAGGUUAAAAAAAAAUACAACCUGAUAGCAAUAUUUGUUGGAUUACCAAGCAAUGUAUUGGUGAAUUGAAGUGCAUCCAUCUAUUCUGCCAACAAUUGUUUUAUUUUAUUUAACUAGGCAAGUCAGUUAAGAACAAAUUCUUAUUUACAUUGACAGCCUUGAAACAGUGGGUUAACUGCCUUAUUCAGAGGCAGAACGACAGAUUUUUACCUUGUCAGCUCAGGGAUUCGAUCUAGCAACCUUUCAGUUCCUGGCCCAACACUCUAACCACUAGGCUGCCUGCCACCCUGAUGCCUUACUGUACUGUACGUCAUAGAAUUGAGUCAAAUAUAACCUACUUUAAAACCUCUUAUAAAGUUGUUUUUGUAGCAUAAACUGGACAUUUUAUAUAUUUUUAUUAUUUAUAUUUUCUGUUCGUUUCAUAUCUGCAAAGUAGUAAAAACGCUGUCAGUUCCAUUUUAAUACGUGACAUUUUGCCGUCUAUCAAAAACUCUCUUCAGAGAGGCCACUGCAAUGGAAGUUGAGUUGAUGUCACCUUCAUCUCGAUCUGUUUGUUUUCAGCGUUCUUGAAGAGGAGUUUCACCCUUGUUUUCCCAUCAUCAGAGGAGCCUUUCAGUUGAGAGAACUUGUAUCUCCAUAAUAUACUCUACAGGGGAUAACAUUGAGGAAUACGGUAAGGGUUCAUUAUUUUUUGACCAAUCGGUAAACAGUAGGUCAUGAACAAUAC